UAACGCGUGGGUAACCUGCCCUUUUGUGGGGAACAACUUCGAGAAAUCGGAGCUAAUACCGCAUAAUAAUAGAGGAUCGCAUGAUUCUUUAAGGAAAGAUGGCCUCUGAAGAUGCUAUCGCAAAAGGAUGGACCCGCGUCUGAUUAGCUAGUUGGAAGGGUAACGGCCUACCAAGGCAACGAUCAGUAGCCGGCCUGAGAGGGUGAACGGCCACAUUGGGACUGAGACACGGCCCAAACUCCUACGGGAGGCAGCAGUGGGGAAUCUUCCGCAAUGGGCGAAAGCCUGACGGAGCAAUGCCGCGUGAGUGAAGAAGGCCUUCGGGUUGUAAAACUCUGUCCUUAUCGAAGAGAGGUAGGUAUGUGAAUAAUGUACCUAUAGGACGGUAGAUAAGGAGGAAGCCCCGGCUAACUACGUGCCUGCAGCCGCGGUAAUACGUAGGGGGCGAGCGUUGUCCGGAAUCACUGGGCGUAAAGGGCGCGUAGGCGGUUUAAUAAGUCAGUGGUGAAAACUGAGGGCUCAACCCUCAGCCUGCCACUGAUACUGUUAGACUUGAGUAUGGAAGAGGAGAAUGGAAUUCCUAGUGUAGCGGUGAAAUGCGUAGAUAUUAGGAGGAACACCAGUGGCGAAGGCGAUUCUCUGGGCCAAGACUGACGCUGAGGCGCGAAAGCGUGGGGAGCAAACAGGAUUAGAUACCCUGGUAGU
rnacentral:rRNA from 1 species